rnacentral:rRNA from 1 species
AACGUAGGUGGCAAGCGUUAUCCGGAAUUACUGGGCGUAAAGGGUGUGCAGGCGGGGUUGCAAGUGGUGUAUGAAAUAUCCCAGCUUAACUGGGAGGGGUUAUGCCAGACUGCAACUCUAGAGGACGAGAGAGGGGGGUGGAAUUCCGGGUGUAGUGGUGAAAUGCGUAGAGAUCCGGAGGAACCCCAGAGGCGCAAGGCGGCCCCCUGGCUCGUACCUGACGCUCAGCCACGAAAGCAUGGGGAGCGAACGGG